GAGCUCGCCUGGCAGCACGUGUGCUAAGAUUGGAAGGAUACAGAGGAGGUUAGCAUGGCCCUGCGCAAGGGUGGCACCACAUGCGUGGAGCGUUCCAUAUUAAA
rfam:Myotis brandtii contig204657, whole genome shotgun sequence.